CUCUUUUACUAAUGUGAAAGAGCGAUUUGAGGUUACAGAUAUUUUAUUUGAUUAACAUAAGCUAUAAAAUAUAUUUCUUGGUUCCUAUCAUAGACUCAAACAUCAUCAGAUGAAGAAGAAAGUAGUAGUUGUGGUGAAGAAGUGGACUAUGAUGAAAAAGAAAUAGAAAAGGAUGAGGGAAAUGAACAAGAGGCAGUAGAUCAGAAUACUAAUCAAGCAGCUCAAAAUGAGGGGAGGAGCAGCGAAUCAAUAAAGAGUAAAAAAGAAAAUCAGGUUGCUACAGAAACUAUAGAAGAUCAAACAUCAUCAGAUGAAGAAGAGAGUAGUAGUGGAGGUGAAGAAGUGGACUAUGUUGAAAAAGAAAUAGAAAAUGAUGAGGGAGAUGAACAAGAGGCAGUAGAUCAGAAUGCUAAUCAAGCAGCUCAAAAUGAGGGGAGGAGCAGCGAAUCAAUAAAGAAUGAAAAAGAAAAUCAGGUGGCUACAGAAACUGUAGAGGAUCAGAAAUCAUCAGAUGAGGAUGAGAUUGGUGGUGGUGAUGGU